ensembl:lncRNA
AACUGUCCCCGGUCUCCCCUACAGAACUGUCCCCAGUCUCCCCUACAGAACUGUCCCCGGUCUCCCCUACAGAACUGUCCCCGGUCUCCCCUACAGAACUGUAACUGGUCUCCCCUACAGAACUGUCCCCGGUCUCCCCUACAGAACUGUCCCCAGUCUCCCCUACAGAACUGUCCCCGGUCUCCCUACAGAACUGUCCCCAGUCUCCCCUACAGAACUGUCCCCAGUCUCCCCUACAGAACUGUCCCCGGUCUCCCCUACAGAACUGUCCCCAGAACUGUCUCCCCUACAGAACUGUCCCCAGUCUCCCCUACAGAACUGUCCCCAGUCUCCCCUACAGAACUGUCCCCAGUCUCCCCUACAGAACUGUCCCCAGUCUCCCCUACAGAACUGUCCCCGGUCUCCCCUACAGAACUGUCCCCGGUCUCCCCUACAGAAACAGUGCAGGUUACACUGUUAACAGUUUAGAAAACAGUUUCUCCUUCAUCUGGACAUGGUGUCGUGUGGUUUACUCCACAACGAUAAAAUUGUCUUUUUGCAGUUCAACACUCACUACUAUGUACAGUAUAUGGACAUCAGGUUUUAUCUUAUUACUCGCCUGAUGUUCAAGUGCAAUCUUACUGCUCCGAAUCAGCAAAAUGAUGCAACAAAAACCACAAACGUCACACAUUGAGUAAUACUUCUUAGUGAGUCAGCAUCACUUAAAUAGUGUUCAUGGGAAUUUACAGCAGAGGGCUGGAGGGGAGGACAGUAUAAGGAGGGAGAGAAUGGAGGCACACAGAGUAGGGGAAAGUGGGGUAAGUUGAUCCAAAGGGUUAGUUGAGCCACACCUUGUUUCUCGGAAACCAUACGCAAACAUUUAGGAAGAGGUAAUCAUUUAAUUUGAAGUCUGUGAAGGAAGAAACCACAUGGAAAACUGUGGUUAGAAACCUAGGUCCCUAAAACAGAUUUCACAAAGUCCAAUUCAUUUGUUAUAGGUUUCAUCUAAACCAAAGUAGAAGAUUAUUUUGUACAUCAAUUGGGGUCUCUAUAAGCUACAAUAUGACGCCCUAAAACAGGGGUGUCAAACUCGUUCCAUGCAGGGCCUAGUGUCUGAGGGGAGUUCCUGCAGACACUCCAUGGGAUGAGUUGGACAUGUGUGCCCUAAACCUAGCAUGAAAGAGCAUAUUUGCAGCUAUGUGGGCUAAUCUAGUCAAAAUGUUUGCUUUGGGGUAUGUUUGCUUUGAUUACAUCGUCAGUUUUAUGCAUAAUAUGCAUAGUCAUUUUUCAAUGUGUCAUACAUAUGAAUUCAAAACUGCAUUAUUGUUACAGAGCAGACAUCAUCAUGCCCCAUGUAUACAAAUGUAAAGCAAGCAGGGGUCGAGCCCCCCUCGAGGUUCUUGACAGAGCAGCCAAGGAAAUGAGAGAAAAAGAAAUCCAUUUGAGCAGAAGCAAGGGUUGAAAAAACAGACUGACACUGAAGAGGUACAUUGACAAAAAAUGUCAAGAACAAGUACCUGUGUGAAAGAGAGGCUAUUAUAGAGUAGCACAGGCAUACUGGUCUUAUCUGAUGACAUGGAGUCUGAGCUUGCUAAACAUAUCACGAAUCUCGCAGACCAGUUUCAUGGUCUUUGUAGCCUCAAAUGCAGAGAUCCUAUGAAUUGGCACAUCGAAACAAUGUCCCUGUCCCAGACAAUUGGUCAAGAAAUGGAAGGGUAAGUAAUAUUGAACAGAGAAAUCUACAAGUAACUGAGUAAAUCUACAACACUUGAGUAAAUGAGGGUUCUGGCGGCUCUGUUAUGGUAUGGGGUGGUUAUGGGGUGUAUUUUCCUGUCAUGGUUUAGGUCCACUCAACCCCUUAGUGGGCAAGGUAAAUGUCAGUAAAUACACAGUCAUUCUGAGGGAUCACAUUCAACCUGUGGUAAAUCAUCUCUAUCCUGAUGGGCGCGGAUAACAAUUCGCCCAUCCACAGGGCACGAGUAGUCACUGAAUGGUUUGAUGGGCAUGAAAACCAUGUAAACCAUAUGCAAUGGCUGUCUCAGUCUCCAGAUCUCAACCCAAUUGAACAUUUAUGCAAGAUUUUGGAGCGGCAUGAGGAGAUGGCUGCCGUUUUACGAUCUCCUAACCAAUUGUGCUAUUGUGUGUUUUUUUUUUUUGCGUUAUUUGUAACUUUUUUGUACAUAAUGUUUCUGCCACUGUGUCUUAUGACUGAAAAGAUCUUCUAGAUAUCAGGACAGCGAUCACCCCGUACUGGAGGAAUACCUUUUCUUUAAAGUGUUGGAUGGGAAAGAUUUACUACAGACCCCUGACAAGGCCCUCAUCCCCGUCAUUCGCAGGAGAAAGAGACAGAGAUAUCGGGGAUGAAGAUUGGGGUGCCUUGUCAGGAUCCAAUGAUGAGUGGGUAAUCUGCCAAUGGUGAUCGGUCCUAUUAGCCAAAGUACAAUCAUUGGAUAAUAAAAUAGAAGAGCUACCAGCACGUAUUUCCUACCAACAGGACAUUAAAAACUGUAAUAUCUUAUUUUUCACCGAGUCGUGGCUGUACAGCUGGUGGGUUUUAAGCUUUUUCGGCAGGAUAGAACAAAUCAAAAUCAAAUCAAAUUUAUUUAUAUAGCCCUUCAUACAUCAGCUGAUAUCUCAAAGUGCUGUACAGAAACCCAGCCUAAAACCCCAAACAGCAAGCAAAGCAGGUGUAGAAGCACGGUGGCUAGGAAAAACUCCCUAGAAAGGCCAAAACCUAGGAAGAAACCUAGAGAGGAACCAGGCUAUGUGGGGUGGCCAGUCCUCUUCUGGCUGUGCCGGGUGGAGAUUAUAACAGAACAUGACCAAGAUGUUCAAAUGUUCAUAAAUGACCAGCAUGGUCGUAUAAUAAUAAGGCAGAACAGUUGAAACUGGAGCAGCAGCACGGUCAGGUGGACUGGGGACAGCAAGGAGUCAUCAUGUCAGGUAGUCCUGGGGCAUGGUCCUAGGGCUCAGGUCCUCCUCCGAGAGAGAGAGAAUUAGAGAACGCACACUUAGAUUCACACAGGACACCGAAUAGGACAGGAGAGGUACUCCAGAUAUAACAAACUGACCCUAGCCCCCCGACACAUUAACAACUGCAACAUAAAUACUGGAGGCUGAGACAGGAGGGGUCAGGAGACACUGUGGCCCCAUCCGAGGACACCCCCAGACAGGGCCAAACAGGAAGGAUAUAACCCCACCCACUUUGCCAAAGCACAGCCCCCACACCACUAGAGGGAUAUCUUCAACCACCAACUUACCAUCCUGAGACAAGGCUGAGUAUAGCCCACAAAGAUCUCCGCCAUGGCACAACCCAAGGGGGG